rnacentral:tRNA from 1 species
AGGACUGUAGCUCAAUCGGCUAGAGCAGCGGCCUCCAAAGCCGAAGGUUGGGGGUUCGAGUCCCUCCAGUCCUGCCA